rnacentral:rRNA from 1 species
UGGGGAAUAUUGCACAAUGGGCGCAAGCCUGAUGCAGCCAUGCCGCGUGUGUGAAGAAGGCCUUCGGGUUGUAAAGCACUUUCAGCGAGGAGGAAGGUGGUGAGCUUAAUACGCUCAUCAAUUGACGUUACUCGCAGAAGAAGCACCGGCUAACUCCGUGCCAGCAGCCGCGGUAAUACGGAGGGUGCAAGCGUUAAUCGGAAUUACUGGGCGUAAAGCGCACGCAGGCGGUUUGUUAAGUCAGAUGUGAAAUCCCCGGGCUCAACCUGGGAACUGCAUUUGAAACUGGCAAGCUAGAGUCUCGUAGAGGGGGUAGAAUUCCAGGUGUAGCGGUGAAAUGCGUAGAGAUCUGGAGGAAUACCGGUGGCGAAGGCGGCCCCCUGGACGAAGACUGACGCUCAGGUGCGAAAGCGUGGGGCAGCAAACAGGAUUAGAUACCCUGGUAGUCCACGCUGUAAAACGAUGUCGAUUUUGGAGGUUGUGCCCUUGAGGCGUGGCUUCCGGAGCUAACGCGUUAAAUCGACCGCCUGGGGAGUACGGCCGCAAGGUUAAAACU